CGACGAAUCUUCCGCAAUGGGCGAAAGCCUGACGGAGCGAUGCCGCGUGUGGGAUGAAGCGCCUUUGGUGUGUAAACCACUGUCAGGAGAUAGAAACACUGAUCAUCUCCAGAGGAAGGGGCGACUAACUCUGUGCCAGCAGUCGCGGUAAUACAGAGGCCCCGAGCGUUAAUCGGAAUCACUGGGCUUAAAGGGUGCGUAGGCGGACUCGUAAGUGUCGUGUGAAAGCCCACUGCUUAACGGUGGAACCGCACGGCAAACUGCAAGUCUCGAGGAAGGUAGAGGCCGGUAGAACGAUUGGUGGAGCGGUGGAAUGCGUAGAUAUCAAUCGGAAUGCCAAAGGUGAAGACAGCCGGCUGGGCCUUUCCUGACGCUGAGGCACGAAAGCGUGGGGAGCAAACAGGAUUAGAUACCCUUGUAGUCCCUGAGCGGGCUGGCAAGGCGCAU
rnacentral:rRNA from 1 species